rnacentral:lncRNA from 1 species
AGAAAAAGGGUUGAAAAGAACAAAGUUUUGUCCAUCUUUGUUCAUCAUAGCUGAAAGUUAGAGAAGAGAAAGGAGAGGAGAAAGCUCUUGAGUAUUUGGUCAUUAGGAGGAGGAAAAUUGAAGGUAAGUUCUUGGUACCUUGCUUCUAUUUUGAGGUUCAUGAGUUCUUCUUGAUUCUACCUUAACUCUUGAAGUAUAUUUUGAUUUUUAGUUGUGUUGUGAGCAUUUAGUCAUGAAUUAAAAUGAAGGAAAUGGUUGUUGUUUCAUGUUCUUUUGAUGAAAAAUGGAAGAUAGGUGAAGUUGAGCCAAACAAAUGAGCAUGCAUGUGCCUUAGAUGUUAAAGGGAAAAAUCAGCUAACAUGUUGUGCUUUAAAAUGAUGAAAUGGAGAUUAUACUUAAGUAAAAUCAUAGAUAUGUGAUGAUUGAUUGGUGAUAUACAUGUUUAAAUAACAUGCAUGCAAGGUAUGUGUGAAAGAGUGAUUUGGUAAUAAAUCUGCUUGGGACAGCAGCAGUAACAUGACUUUGGAAAAUCACCAUAAAUUGUGGGAGAUGAAUUAGAAGCUGAAUAAAUUAUGUAAUUAAAGCUUAUUGAGUCUAGUUUCUAAUGAAAUAAACAAGAAUAUAUUUUAAAUUCUGUACAAUGAGAAAUCUGAUUUGUAAUGAAGAGUGGUCAGAUUAGUCAAACAGUGAAACAUGGGAAACUUUAAGAAAAAUCUGGUAUUGAUUGGCCAUUCCAAAAAUUCUUAAAAUUUUAUGGAUAAAAGAUAUAUGAGUCUAUUUUUAGGGAAAAGUAACGACACUUGAUUUGGAGUUUCGUAGCUCCAGUUAUAAAUAAUUUAGUGACUGUUGCUCAGGAAGACAGCUUGCAGUGAAAUUAUGAUUAUGUGGUAAACAUUGACAAAAAUUUGUUAAUGAGUUGCUUAUUGAUUUCUUAUAAGCUUACUAUGAUCUGUAGGUGUGGUUGGCCGAAUAUUGUAAGGGGUUAAUACGUAUUUUGUAUUUGAAUAGUUAGAUUAACGUGUUAGUAAUCCAAUUGUAGGCGGUUCGUGUGUGGAUCUCGUCAGCAUAUCGUCGCAAACAGGUGUGUAACUGACACCCUCUUAUAGACUAGAUUGGCAAAAGCCGAAAAGCCGAAAUGCCGAAAAGUCGGUAUUUUGGGAAUUUGCGAGUGUGCGAAUGCUCGUAAGAUAGUUGGGUUUGUAUAUUUGGUAAUCUAAAGUAAUAAACUGCAGUACGCGCAAUUUCGUACAUUUUGAUAAUUUGGGCUUAAUGGGCCAAAGAUCGGGUUCAUGGGCCAACAGGCCCAAUUCGGUAAGUAUGCGCGGUAAGUGUUCUGAUAGUACGUAAAUAGUUAGGAUAUGCAUGAAAAUGCUAAAAGUAGCUAAAUUACUAUAAUACCCCUAUGUAUGGAAAAUUACUGUUAUACCCCUAGGUGUAAAAUUACCGUUAUACCCCUAGGGUUAAUUUUGACUGAAAAGCAUGACAAUCUGAUUCUGUAUGAUGUAUGCCAUGAUUAUAUAUCUGUUGCAUAGGGACAUGUGUUAUAUUAUAGAGGAAGCGUUCUGGUGGCUAUGCCACAAAUAUCUGAUCUGGUGGCUCUGCCACAAAUAUCUGAUCUGGUGGCUCUGCCACAAAUAUCUGAUCUGGUGGCUCUGCCACAUAUAUCUGUUCUGGUGGCCCUGCCACGAUUAUCUGUAUCUGGUGACUCUGUCACAUUAUCUGUUCUGGCAGCCAUGCUGCAAUUUCUGUGGUGUGUAGCGGUUGGGUGGGCCGAGUAGUCUCCCCACAUGAUGUAACGCUGGUACGGGGGUGUUAUGGAUGAAUCUGGGUUGGGUUUCUGCAUAAACAUGUAAUAUCUGUUCUGUUCUGUUAUGGGCCUAUGGGCUUUAUUCUAAAUUCUAUUCUGGGCUAAGGCCAACUUAUUCUAUUUCUGUGGUUUGAGCUGAUAUAGGCUAUGGUUGGGUUAUUUUACACACUGAGUUUCCCCAAACUCACCCCUUUUAUUUUCAUCCACGCAGGAAAUCCCCAACCAUAGUGGGCUUGGAGCUGUGAGGGAAUUCGGAGUGGCCACCCGUUCUGAAAGUUUGAUUUUCUUUUGGUGAACUGGACAUCCUUUUAUUUACGUUUGAAGUUUUGGGUUUUCAAAUGUAAUAAGGCCGCUUAAUUAUUUUUUACGGUUUUAAUAUGUAUUACUAAGAUAGGUAUUAUUUAUUUUAGCUGUCGAAAUUGGAUAGCUUUAGGGCGCGUUUUCAAAAACAGCAAUUGAUUUCAAAAUAACACGACAACAAGCAAAGCUUCCGCUGUAACACCCCAAACACGGCCUAGACGUUAUGACCGGAUCUGAUGCGCCACAUCGAAGCGUUCAAAAUAUUCCGUAUUACUUAGUUGGAAAACUUAGUUGGUGUUGUAAAAGACACUUUUAAAAGUAGGUUAAAGUGAAUGGAAGCUGUGCACCAGGUAGGGAACCAGGAAGAAUAGGAGGUGAGUCCGUCAGACUGCUUAAGUACCAAGCUCCCCUCGGAUCCAAUCCUAGACAUGCACACCACCAUUGCCACACUCUAACAUCUCGUAUAAUUUUGAGAAAACCGUUUGGUUAUGUCCAUGUUAAGAAAAUGAUUAAAGUUUAAAACGUUUUCUCAGCGGAGGUCUUACUUGUAUUCGGG